GGAGUGGGCCGGACGGCCGCGCGUCCGCAAGGAUGUGAGGAAAGUCCGGACUCCGAUGGGCAGGGUGCCUGCUAACGGCAGGGCGCGGCGACGCGACGGAAAGUGCCACAGAAAAGGAAACUCCCCCGCCUUCGGGCGGGAGAAAAGCUGAAACGGUGCGGUAAGAGCGCACCAGCGUCACGGCAACGUGGCGGCUUGGCAAACCCCACCCGGAGCAAGGGCAAAUAGGAGCGGCUAAGGCUGGCCCGGCCAUCGCUCGGGUAUGCCCGCGUGAGGCCGCCGGCGACGGCGGUCCCAGAUAGAUGGUCGUCUACGACAGAAUCCGGCUUACAGGCCCACUCCACCG
rnacentral:RNase_P_RNA from 1 species